rnacentral:rRNA from 1 species
UACGUAGGGUGCAAGCGUUAAUCGGAAUUACUGGGCGUAGAGCGUGCGCAGGCGGUUGUGCAAGACAGAUGUGAAAUCCCCGGGCUCAACCUGGGAAUUGCAUUUGUGACUGCACGGCUAGAGUGUGUCAGAGGGGGGUAGAAUUCCACGUGUAGCAGUGAAAUGCGUAGAUAUGUGGAGGAAUACCGAUGGCGAAGGCAGCCCCCUGGGAUAACACUGACGCUCAUGCACGAAAGCGUGGGGAGCAAACAGG